UUGGUUAAGUUAGAAAGGGCGCACGGUGGAUGCCUUGGCACUAGGAGCCGAAGAAGGACGGGACUAACACCGAUAUGCUUUGGGGAGCUGUACGUAAGCGUUGAUCCAGAGAUUUCCGAAUGGGGGAACCCACUAUCUUUAGUCGGAUAGUAUCCUUACGUGAAUACAUAGCGUGAGGAAGGCAGACCCAGGGAACUGAAACAUCUAAGUACCUGGAGGAAGAGAAAGAAAAAUCGAUUUCCUGAGUAGCGGCGAGCGAAACGGAAAGAGCCCAAACCAAGAAGCUUGCUUCUUGGGGUUGUAGGACACUCUAUACGGAGUUACAAAAGAAAGUUAUAAAUGAAGCGGUCUGGAAAGGCCCGCCAAAGACGGUAACAGCCCGGUAGUUGAAAUGGCUUUCCCUCCAGAGUGGAUCCUGAGUACGGCGGAACACGUGAAAUUCCGUCGGAAUCCGGGAGGACCAUCUCCCAAGGCUAAAUACUCCCUAGUGACCGAUAGUGAACCAGUACCGUGAGGGAAAGGUGAAAAGCACCCCGGAAGGGGAGUGAAACAGUUCCUGAAACCGUGUGCCUACAAGUAGUUAGAGCCCGUUAAUGGGUGAUAGCGUGCCUUUUGUAGAAUGAACCGGCGAGUUACGAUUUGUUGCAAGGUUAAGCGGAAAAAGCGGAGCCGUAGCGAAAGCGAGUCUGAAUAGGGCGCAUAAGUAACAGGUCGUAGACCCGAAACCAGGUGAUCUACCCAUGUCCAGGAUGAAGGUAAGGUAAUACUUACUGGAGGUCCGAACCCACGCACGUUGAAAAGUGCGGGGAUGAGGUGUGGGUAGCGGAGAAAUUCCAAUCGAACUUGGAGAUAGCUGGUUCUCUCCGAAAUAGCUUUAGGGCUAGCCUCGAGGUAAAGAGUCAUGGAGGUAGAGCACUGUUUGGACUAGGGGCCCUUCUCGGGUUACCGAAUUCAGAUAAACUCCGAAUGCCAUGUACUUAUACUCGGGAGUCAGACUGCGAGUGAUAAGAUCCGUAGUCGAAAGGGAAACAGCCCAGACCACCAGUUAAGGUCCCCAAAUAUAUGUUAAGUGGAAAAGGAUGUGGGGUUGCUUAGACAACCAGGAUGUUGGCUUAGAAGCAGCCACCAUUGAAAGAGUGCGUAAUAGCUCACUGGUCGAGUGACCCCGCGCCGAAAAUGUACCGGGGCUAAACAUAUUACCGAAACUGUGGAUGAACCUCUUUAGAGGUUCGUGGUAGGAGAGCGUUCUAAGGGCGGUGAAGUCAGACCGGAAGGACUGGUGGAGCGCUUAGAAGUGAGAAUGCCGGUAUGAGUAGCGAAAGAAGGGUGAGAAUCCCUUCCACCGAAUAUCUAAGGUUUCCUGAGGAAGGCUCGUCCGCUCAGGGUUAGUCGGGACCUAAGCCGAGGCCGAUAGGCGUAGGCGAUGGACAACAGGUAGAGAUUCCUGUACCAGUGCUAAUUGUUUAACCGAUGGGGUGACACAGAAGGAUAGGGAAUCGCACGAAUGGAAAUGUGCGUCCAAGCAGUGAGUGUGAGAAGUAGGCAAAUCCGCUUCUCGCGAAGCAUGAGCUGUGAUGGGGAAGGAAAUUAAGUACGGAAGUUCCUGAUUUCACGCUGU
rnacentral:rRNA from 1 species